AACGGCCGUACCAUGUUGAAUAUACCGGUUCUCGUUAGAUCACCGAAGUUAAGCAUCUGGGCGCGGUCAGACUUUGGGUUGAAACCUGGGAACACUGCGUGCCGUU